GUCCACUCUCCAAGAGAUAGGAGGAAAAGAGGACAGCAGCUCCGAGUCCUCUGUCUACCGCAGUUUGGCCUCAGAUGCGCCCAUGUCCAGCAGCAAGAAGUCAGGGAGACGUCUGCGUCAAAGUCCCGAGAUGCUGAUGACUGGGAGGCUCACACAUGCCCGACGGCCUGUUUGGAGAAUGACCAGUUGAUUGGAAAAACACCAAAGUGUCCCUCUAAACCCCAAAUAAUCCCACGACACGAUUUUUUUCUUAACCCUUAAUUAAUUUACAAAUAACAGUGUGAACAGUUAGACCGCACUGUGUACGCAGCACGAGCAACUAAAGCCCGGAAGUUGCAGAAGGCCACACAGAUUGCCUACAAGUCUCAGUUAGCAAACGUGACCUGAUGUGAGGUCACCUAAACUGCAGCACACACAGGCCGUCAUUGUGUCUCCGUGCCUCCACCCACUCUGAGCGGGCACGACUUCAGCACCGAGUGGAUUUGUUC